GUACAAGAAACAUAAACAUGAUACAACCACCCCAAUUGAAUAUAUAAACAUCCAUACAUUCAUACAUUCAUACCCCAUUCACAUUCGAAUUCACUUUCAGAGUUUCAAUCAUAAGUCCACAACUAUUGGUUUCAAAAUGUUUCCUAUCCGAAAAAUCGUUUUGAAAUACUAGUUUAUGAAAAUCACGCGAAAACCUUUUCAAAACCGUUUCCCACACGAAAACCCUUUUUCUUUAAAACACACUACCACUAUAGCACAUUGAACUUUCGCAAAUUGCAAGGUUCGAGUAUUUGAUCUGUGUUCCGAGCUCUUCCAUGUUUUCAGGAGGGUCGUCAACGGUGUGCCUACCAAUGACUCGCAUCCCGAGGAGCAAAAGUGAAAACUUAGCACCAAAAUCUCUAACUUGUAGAAUUUGGACUGCUCUCGGGUUUGACUCUAUAGGGCAGAGUACCGGUACUGCAUCGGCAGAGUACUUGUACUGGACCUAGUACCAGUACUGCAUCGUGAUGGUACCGAUACCCAGUGUAUUUUCUCGCUAACCCAAGGCUCGGGUUUGUGCAGACUGCUGCUUGGUACCGGUACUCUUUUCCGCGUACCGGUACGCAGUGCAGUGCAGACUGCACGUUGUUGGAGGGCCUUUUUGAGAUUGUUACAUCUCUAUAUAUACUCCUACAGCCCUUAGAGAGCUCUAUUGAGCCCUAAACCGUGGAGAGCUCAGCGUCAUGUUGGAUUUCCACCAUUGGAGAAGCCUUGGAUUGAAGAGUGGAGCUUUCUUGAGGAUCAAUCUUCAACCUUAGCUCAUUCCAAACUUGGAUUGGAGCUUCUUGAGAGGGAAGCAGCUCCAUGGAAGAAACCUUUUCAUUGUUUCAUUUCAACGGGAACUUCAAACUGGGUGGUUUUCCUUUUAUUUGCUCCUUUAACCUCGUGCAUGAGGUUUGUUUUUGUCCAUUGAUUGAAUUUGGCUAUAUAUGGGUUUUUUCUAGUACUUGCAAUUGAUGAUUUAAUUAUCGCAUUAUAGCACGCUAUCCACUUUGCAGUAUGUUUUGUGCUACGACACUCUCUCCAUGCUGCCAUUACAUUUAUUAUUGUUUA